CGGAGUUGUGCCUGAAGUAAAGGGCCACUUUGAUAGGGUGAAUCAUAAGGGUUAAAGUCCCUUCAACUCCU
rnacentral:tRNA from 1 species